rnacentral:misc_RNA from 1 species
CGAAAUGCGAUAAGUAAUGUGAAUUGCAGAAUUCAGUGAAUCAUCGAAUCUUUGAACGCACCUUGCGCUCCUUGGUAUUCCUUGGAGCAUGCCUGUUUGAGUAUCAUGAAAUCUUCAAAGUAAAUCUUUUGUUAACUCAAUUGGUUUCUACUUUGGUAUUGGAGGUCUUUGCAGCUUCACACCUGCACCUCUUUGUUCAUUAGCUGGAUCUCAGUGUUAUGCUUGGUUCCACUCGGCGUGAUAAGUUAUCUAUCGCUGAGGACACUGUAAAAGGUGGCCAAGGUAAAUGCAGAUGAACCGCUUCUAAUAGUCCAUUGACUUGGACAAUACUUUUAUGAUCUGAUCUCAAAUCAGGUAGGACUACCCGCUGAACUUAAGC